UACGGAGGGUGCAAGCGUUAAUCGGAAUUACUGGGCGUAAAGCGCACGCAGGUGGCUGAGUCAGUCGAUUGUGAAAGCCCUGGGCUUAACCUGGGAAUUGCAGUCGAUACUACUCAGCUAGAGUAUGGGAGAGGGUAGUGGAAUUCCCGGUGUAGCGGUGAAAUGCGUAGAUAUCGGGAGGAACAUCAGUGGCGAAGGCGGCCUUCUGGUCCAGUACUGACACUCAAGUGCGAAAGCGUGGGGAGCAAACAGG
rnacentral:rRNA from 1 species